rnacentral:rRNA from 1 species
GAUGAACGCUAGCGAUAGGCCUAACACAUGCAAGUCGAGGGGCAUCACAUGAAGUAGCAAUACGGAUGGUGGCGACCGGCGCACGGGUGAGUAACACGUAUGCAACCUGCCUUCAACAAGGGGAUAACCCGUUGAAAGACGGACUAAUACCCUAUAACACAGGGGUCCCGCAUGGGAAUAUUUGUUAAAGGACAACCGGUUGAAGAUGGGCAUGCGUUCCAUUAGCUAGUUGGCGGGGUAACGGCCCACCAAGGCAACGAUGGAUAGGGGAACUGAGAGGUUUAUCCCCCACACUGGUACUGAGACACGGACCAGACUCCUACGGGAGGCAGCAGUGAGGAAUAUUGGUCAAUGGACGCAAGUCUGAACCAGCCACGUCGCGUGAAGGAAGACGGCCCUACGGGUUGUAAACUUCUUUUAACGGGAAUAAAGUGCCCCACGCGUGGGGUUUUGCAUGUACCGUAUGAAUAAGGAUCGGCUAACUCCGUGCCAGCAGCCGCGGUAAUUACG